rnacentral:rRNA from 11 species
ACAGACAACCAGGAGGUUGGCUUAGAAGCAGCCACCCUUGAAAGAGUGCGUAAUAGCUCACUGGUCAAGUGAUUCCGCGCCGACAAUGUAACGGGGCUCAAGCACGCCACCGAAGUUGUGGCAUUGACAUUAGUGGUAGGCCUUCGUGGUCCAGCCGUGUUGAUGGGUAGGAGAGCGUCGUGUGGCGAGUGAAGCGGCGGUGUGAACCAGCCGUGGACGCCACACGAGUGAGAAUGCAGGCAUGAGUAGCGAAAGACGGGUGAGAAACCCGUCCUCCGGAAGACCAAGGGUUCCAGGGUCAAGCUAAUCUUCCCUGGGUAAGUCGGGACCUAAGGCGAGGCCGACAGGCGUAGUCGAUGGACAACGGGUUGAUAUUCCCGUACCGGCGAAGAACCGCCCAAGACAAUCCAGUAGUGCUAAGUAUCUGAAUCCCUUUGAUGGAUCCCUUCGGGGUGAAGCGUUGGGCCUAGCGUACGACCCCGUGCUGGUGCGUUUAGCGUAUUAACAGGUGUGACGCAGGAAGGUAGCCGAGCCGGGCGAUGGUUGUCCCGGUCUAAGGAUGUAGGGCGAACGAUAGGCAAAUCCGUCGUUCACAUAGCCUGAGAUCUGAUGGGUAGACGCAAGUCGAAAUCGGUGAUCCUAUGCUGCCAAGAAAAGCAUCGACGCGAGGUUCUAGCUGCCCGUACCCCAAACCGACUCAGGUGGUCAGGUAGAGAAUACUAAGGAGAUCGAGAGAAUCGUGGUUAAGGAACUCGGCAAAAUGCCCCCGUAACUUCGGGAGAAGGGGGGCCUGAGGCGUGAACGGACUUGCUCCGGGAGCGUUCGAUGGCCGCAGAGACCAGUGGGAAGCGACUGUUUACUAAAAACACAGGUCCAUGCGAAGUCGCAAGACGAUGUAUACGGACUGACGCCUGCCCGGUGCUGGAAGGUUAAGAGGAACGGUUAGCCGCAAGGCGAAGCUGAGAAUUUAAGCCCCAGUAAACGGCGGUGGUAACUAUAACCAUCCUAAGGUAGCGAAAUUCCUUGUCGGGUAAGUUCCGACCU